rnacentral:rRNA from 1 species
AGAAACUCAACAGGAUUCCCUUAGUAAUGGCGAAUGAACGGGGAGAAGCUCAGCUUGGAAAUCGGGGCAUUUUGCCUUGAAUUGUAGUCUCGAGAUGUACUGCCAACGAAGGCGCAGAUGCAAGACUCUUGGAAAAGAGCAUCAUCGAGGGCGAGGGUCCUGUUUGUCGUUCGCAGCCCUUCGUGCACUGCAUACUUUCUUAGAGUCACGUUCCUUGGGAUUGGAGCGCAAAAUGGGUGGUAAAUUUCAUCUAAAGCUAAAUACAAGCUUGAGACCGAUAGAAAACAAGUACCAUGAGGGAAAGAUGAAAAGGACUUUGAAAAGAGAGUUAAAAGUGCCUGAAAUUGCUGAAAGGGAAGCGAAUGGAGCCAUUGUCUCUUGGCAAGAUUGCUUCCUGCUACAGUGACGGCUUGUUGCUUCAGCGCAAGUGGCGCAGCAGGCUUUGGGCUGGAAGUGGGCGGUGGUUCUUGCUGAGCACGCCAUCGUCGGCUCAUCGUUGAAGAAAACUCCGAGGAUAUGGUGAACUGCUUGUGGGUGGCUCAAUAUCUUCGGUCGAAUUCAUUGCUGGGCUGAUUCGUGCAUGUCCUGUUGCCCUGUCUCUUUGGCCUUCUUUCUCGCCCGUGGCGUAGCGCUCUGCGCAGUGAGUUGGCAAGUGGAGCAUGUUCUCGACAAGCACGAUGACAAAGUGGUUUUACUCGACCCGUCUUGAAACACGGACCAAGGAGUCUAACAUAUGUGCAAGUGCACAGGUGGGGAAGCCUGCACACACAAUGAAAGUGACUGCUGGGAAGUCUGCACCAGCAACCGACCAAUCAAUUGUGAAAGGUUUGAGUGUGAGCAUAUCUGUUAGGACCCGAAAGAUGGUGAACUAUGCCUGAGAAGGGCGAAGUCAGGGGAAACUCUGAUGGAGGCUCGUAGCGAUACUGACGUGCAAAUCGUUCGUC